UACGUAGGGUGCAAGCGUUGUCCGGAAUUAUUGGGCGUAAAGAGCUCGUAGGCGGUCAGUCGCGUCUGCUGUGAAAACUCGGGGCUUAACCCCGGGCCUGCAGUGGGUACGGGCUGACUAGAGUGCGGUAGGGGAGACUGGAAUUCCUGGUGUAGCGGUGAAAUGCGCAGAUAUCAGGAGGAACACCGGUGGCGAAGGCGGGUCUCUGGGCCGAUACUGACGCUGAGGAGCGAAAGCGUGGGGAGCGAACAGG
rnacentral:rRNA from 1 species